rnacentral:rRNA from 1 species
UACGUAGGGGGCAAGCGUUAUCCGGAUUUACUGGGUGUAAAGGGAGCGUAGACGGCGAUGCAAGUCAGAUGUGAAAACCCAUGGCUCAACCAUGGGAUUGCAUUUGAAACUGUGUUGCUAGAGUGCAGGAGAGGUAAGCGGAAUUCCUGGUGUAGCGGUGAAAUGCGUAGAUAUCAGGAGGAACACCGGUGGCGAAGGCGGCUUACUAGACUGUAACUGACGUUGAGGCUCGAAGGCGCGGGUAGCAAACAGGAUUAGAUA